UGGGGAUGACGUCAAGUCCUCAUGGCCCUUAUAGGUGGGGCUACACACGUCAUACAAUGGCUGGUACAAAGGGUUGCCAACCCGCGAGGGGGAGCCAAUCCCAUAAAGCCAGUCGUAGUCCGGAUCGCAGUCUGCAACUCGACUGCGUGAAGUCGGAAUCGCUAGUAAUCGUGGAUCAGCAUGUCACGGUGAAUACGUUCCCGGGUCUUGU
rnacentral:rRNA from 1 species